GCAGUCGCCACGGGAAUACGAAGGGGGCUAGCGUUGUUCGGAUUUACUAGGCGUAAAGGGCGCGUAGGCGGACUGAUAAGUCAGGGGUGAAAUCCCAAGGCUCAACCUUGGAACUGCCUUUGAUACUGUUUGUCUUGAGUUCGAGAGAGGUAAGUGGAACUGCGAGUGUAGAGGUGAAAUUCGUAGAUAUUCGCAAGAACACCAGCGGCGAAGGCGGCUUACUGGCUCGAAACUGACGCUGAGGCGCGAAAGCGUGGGGAGCAAACAGGAUUAGAUACCCCCGUAGUCCCUGUCUCUUAUAC
rnacentral:rRNA from 1 species